CGAACAGGCUGCACUGAGAUUAGACAAACAGGAUAGCUUUCAAUAUCUUGAUCAAGACUUUGCUAAAAGCAAGCAUAUUUAUGCUGAGAAAAAAAAGCUGGGAUGUGUAAGUGCAAAUACCCUGAAAAAGAGUGUCCUGAGAAUGGUGUGCAUCAACCAAGCUGGGGAUAUUUUCAGAGUUUAAAACUAGUGUGAUUGCAUUAAGGUGCUGUUGGCAGUAUUGACACAUCCAAGUAAGGAGUGCAGUGGUGUCAUGGGAGAGAUCAUCUGGAGUGAAUGUUGAUGGAGUGGAUCUUAAGUUUCGUUAGAGCAAUAGCAAGCACCUAUUCUGUGACUGCAAGUGCCCAAUCUGAAAAAAACAAGCAAAUAAAAUCAGCUUGCUAGCUACCAUCCAGAUACCAACAAGUGAGAAAUGGGAGAGGUCAGCAAUGAUCGAGCAGUGUGUGAUCAGAGGAAAUGCUGGACAUGGCAGUAUUCGUGCUGUGAGUUCAGUGUCGACCUGAGGAGGGUCCGGUUACAAUGUGCUGUGCACGGGACCUACAAGCUGUCUGUAACAAAGUGCUUGAACACUGGGAGUCAGACAAGCUUCCGACCCAGGUAAGCUGGGGCUUGGAAACUAACUCUGGAGAAGGGCCUAACAUGGAACCUGAAUCGUCUGAAAGUCUUUGUAGACCUAAGCUUCUAUUUUGUAUUGAGACGUGAAAAAAAAAAGCAGGAUCUUCUAAUUUUUC
rnacentral:lncRNA from 1 species